rnacentral:rRNA from 1 species
UACGAAGGGGGCUAGCGUUGCUCGGAAUUACUGGGCGUAAAGGGCGCGUAGGCGGUUAUUUAAGUUGGGGGUGAAAUCCCGGGGCUCAACCUCGGAAUUGCCUUCAAAACUGGAUAUCUUGAGUUCGGGAGAGGUGAGUGGAACUCCGAGUGUAGAGGUGAAAUUCGUAGAUAUUCGGAAGAACACCAGUGGCGAAGGCGACUCACUGGCCCGAUACUGACGCUGAGGCGCGAAAGCGUGGGGAGCAAACAGG